rnacentral:rRNA from 1 species
GUCAUAUCUUAACUGAGUAUGACGACGGAUAACAGGUUAAUAUUCCUGUACUUUCAAUUUUUGUUAAGUUUCUAAAUCGCUUUCGGAUAGGCAAAGUAGCGAAAGUUAUCAAGAUCAAGAAUUUUGUGGAUCGUAAUGAGGAGAAGCAAAAGAAUUGUCUUUAAUUUGUCAAAUCCAAGAGUCAGUGAAAAGUUUGGAAAAUAGAAAGUUGAGAGCAGUACCAAGAACUGACACUGGUAUCCUAGCUGAAAAGGCUAAGACGUAAAGGGUUAAUUAAGUUAAGGGAACUCGGCAGAAAUAGUCCCGUAUCUUCGGUAGAAGGGAUGUCUAUAUUUUUCCAUGAUUUAUUAUGGGGGAACGUAGAUCUCAGUAACAAGGAUGGAACGACUGUUUACCAAAAACGUAGCUGAGCGCUAAUUUGAAAGAAUGAAUAUGCUCGGUGAAGUCUGCCCAGUGAUGGUGUCUAAACUCUUGUUUCAACAGGAUGAAAGCCCAUCAAACGGCGGGCCUAACUAUGAGGCUCUUAAGGUAGCGUAAUGCCUUGUCAUCUGAAUGGUGACGUGCAUGAAUGGCUUAACGAUUUUGUCACUGUCCCUAACUUACACCCUCCGAAAGCAUUAACCGGUGAACAGGCCGGUAUCAUCUAGUGGGAAGUGAAGACCUUGUAGACCUUUACUGCAACCUGUUGUUGUGAUUUUAUUAUAGUUGCCCAGAGUAAGUAGGAGCAUCGAAGUUAGGGUUCUGGCCCUAAUGGAGCGAAAGUGUAACACUACUCAGCCAUGAUAAAACCACUUACCGAAUUUUCGGGACAGCAAUUGGCGGGCAGUUUGGCUGGGGCGGCACCCCUCCGAAAAGAUAUCGGCGGGGCUCAAAGACAAACUCAUCCAGGUCGGAAAUCUGGAGUUGAGCGUAAAGGCAAAUGUUUGUCUGACUGUAUUUCAAAAAGCACGAAAUGCAGGAAUGAAAGUUGGACUUAACGAACCUACCAUGACUUUUAAUGGGUCAGGUAGACGUCAGAAAAGGUACCUCAAGGAUAACA